rnacentral:rRNA from 1 species
GAUGAACGCUGGCGGCGUGCUUAACACAUGCAAGUCGAACGGAAAGGCCCAAGCUUGCUUGGGUACUCGAGUGGCGAACGGGUGAGUAACACGUGGGUGAUCUGCCCUGCACUUCGGGAUAAGCCUGGGAAACUGGGUCUAAUACCGGAUAGGACCACUUCUUGGAUGUUGUGGUGGAAAGUUUUUUCGGUGUGGGAUGAGCUCGCGGCCUAUCAGCUUGUUGGUGGGGUAAUGGCCUACCAAGGCGUCGACGGGUAGCCGGCCUGAGAGGGUGUACGGCCACAGUGGGACUGAGAUACGGCCCAGACUCCUACGGGAGGCAGCAGUGGGGAAUAUUGCACAAUGGGCGCAAGCCUGAUGCAGCGACGCCGCGGGGGGGAUGACGGCCUUCGGGUUGUAAACUCCUUUCGCUAGGGACGAAGCGUUUUGUGACGGUACCUGGAGAAGAAGCACCGGCUAACUACGUG